UUUUUCUCAUGGUGGUAGAAUUCAGUUGCAGUUACAGCCUGUCGCCACUAGAUGGGGGUCGAGAGCGGCGUGUUAUGAGCUCUCCGCCUUGCGGCAAGAUGGCUGCGCCCACUGGCUUUGCUGGGGGGGAGGGGCUGUUACUCACACGCGCCGGUCUGGGUUCAGAUCAGUUCUGCUCUCUGGUCUCCCAAGGCCCUUGAUUUAUAGGGUCCCCGCAGAUGAAAGCUUUCCCCCCAGUCAGCGGGUCUCCACUGAAUCAGCGGCAGGAGUCCUGGAUGAUCCCCCGGUCGCGCGGGCCCUCCCCCGCUCCUUCCCGACCCGCCCGCAGCGAUCGCAGACUCUAGGGGAGGGAGCGAUGUUCUCUCCUACCGUUCCAGCGCCUCCGAAGGUCUGGCUCCAUGGGCAUGGACCACCAGAAAAGCAUACUUGGAGUCAGUGAAAAUGGUCACCCUCUUGCCCUUGUCUAGAUGGAGGGCUCUCGUCAGAGCUGACACAGUUGGAAACAUUAGUUGUAUUACAAAGGCUUUGACUGGAAUGUCAUAUCUGAGAGAAACAUACAGGCUCAGAGAUGACAAGACAGCUUCUCAGGAACAAAGAUUGAGCUUUAUGGAAUAAAGCCCCUUGGAAAUAUUGGCUUGGUAUCUUGUUCACAGAGAUUCCAGCAAUCUUACCUGUUUCACCUCCUGGACCACUUCUCAUCAAAUGAUUCUCGUCUCCAGAGGAUCUGUAUACCUUGUCAGCCUUGGACUCCAUGGGUGCAACCUUCCGGUGCACUGAACUUCCUGCCUAUACCCCUAUGGCCCAAUUUAGGGACAGCUCUACGACCUUGUACAGAUGAAAGUAGUUACAGAAGAUUGACCAUCGUCCAUAUCCCCAAAAGAUUUUGGGGCCAAAUAGGUUCGGGGGGGUGGUUUAUGAUGAGAAUCAAGGCUGCCCCAGGGAGAGAAGCACAAGGUGUCCUGCCCCACAUACUGAUCUAUAUCAUCCUCUGGGAAGCAUAGGACGUCCUGACCUGAUCUGAUCUGAUUCUCGUGUAAAGUUAUAGGACCACCCAAUAACCAGACCCCACCUACACUGAUACCAUUUUAACAAGUUUUUUACAUAAUCUUUCCUUUGUCUUGUGAAGAAAUAAUUCACAUACCUAUGCCUCAGAUUUAGCCCUGCCCUCAACCCAUUGCAGCUCUCACUGCCCAUGGGUCCUGUCCCCAUGCUGCAGCUCUUCACUACCCACCGCUCCUGUCCCCAUGCUAUUCUCUGAAUAAAGGAGCACUACUACCAGACCUUGAGAGUCCAAGAAAUCUUUCUUUCAACUCCUCGGCUCACUGAGCCUGCAUCACAUAAAAUCUUUGUCCUCCCAAGAUCUCAGUCCAGGGAGAGAGAGAGAAAGAGAA
rnacentral:lncRNA from 1 species